rnacentral:piRNA from 1 species
UUUGAUACGGCUAGAAUUUCA